rnacentral:tRNA from 1 species
GCCCGGGUGGCGAAAUGGCAGACGCAAGGGACUUAAAAUCCCUUUCCUUAACAAGAGUGCGGGUUCGAGUCCCGCCCCGGGCACCA